CGAGGGUCCCUGGGAUCGUCAGGUCAGGCCUUGGGCUAACGUAGGCACUCGCAGUUCCUCCGCCUUCAGGAAGGUCUUUUUAGCAGGGGCCUUACGGGUGCGCGCUUCGGUCCUGGAGGCCUUAUCCUAGCCUCCUCUCUCCAUCAGCGCCACCCGUCUGGGGCCCAAAAGGAGGGAGCUUUACCUCUGUCCCCCAGCCUUUGGAGUGUCACCAAACAAGCCAUUCGUUCACCAAAUACUUAUUAAGUGCCUGACAACGGAGAUGUAACGAAAUUGCCUGUUUGCUCCACUCUGGUUGAAGAAACCAGUCUGACUGUCUCUGAGGCUAUGGAGCAGUCCAUCAAGAAUGAAAGCCCUCUGCCAGGCACGUUGGCUCACACCUGUAAUACCAGCACUUUGGGAGGCCGAGGCAGGUGGAUCACUUGAGGUCAGGAGUUCGACACCAGCAUGGCCAACAUGGUGAAACCCUGUCUCUACAGAAAAUAAUACUUUGCAAGGCCUCAGAAACUCUGCUAUCCACAGGCAGGUGAGAUAUUACCUUCCCUACCACCUGGCAGUCAUAGUCUAUGACACGAUUCAGCUUUAUGGAAGUGCUUCUCUAAAGAACUUCCCCCAAUUUAAGAUGAUCUUAAUUUGCUUACUUGUUUACUGUCCAUUUAGCUGCUCUAAAAUAUGAGCUCCAAAUCAGGGGCCAUGUCUGGUUGGUUACCCAUUUCCUGGGACCUAGAACGGGCCUAGCUCAGAGCAGGUGCUCACUAUUGAUGGAAUGCAUGUUGAAAGAAUGCGUGAAUCUCAUCUCCUUUUGUGGGUGAAAAACUCAUCCUAUUCUCACCCUGAUUAACUUCCUUUUUUUUCCAAAAUGGAGCCGUGAUCUGUCACCCAGCCUGGAGUGCAAUGGUGUGAUGGCUUGCUGCAACCUCUGCCUUCUGGAUUAAAACAAUUCUCCUGCCUCAGCCUCCUGGGUAGCUGGGAUUACCGGUGCAUGCCACCACGCCCGGCUAAUGUUUUGUAUUUUAAAUAGAGACAGGGUUUCACCAUGUUGGCCAGGCUGGUCUCGAACUCCUGACCUCGUGAUCCACCCACUUUGGCCUCCCAAAGUCCUGGGAUUACAGGCAUGAGCCACCGUACCCAGCCUGUCUUGAUUAACUUAAUGGAAAUAUUUACAGAGAUUCUUUCUCUUCUGGGUUCUAGCGUCUUAUGUGUAACCUCUGCAGGUAAUACAUUUUCCUUCCUGAUGAUAGCAUUUCUAUGGUUGCUUUAACUUGCAAAUCCUCUAAUACUUAUUUAUUCCAUUUCUGAUUGGCAUUAGACAUAAUUCUCAAUUUUUAGUGACAGCACUUUGUUUAACUUACAUAUAAAUCGACUUUGCCUUGAAAUGUGACAUUGACUAGAAGGAUGAAACUUCAAACAUUCUGUACAACAUAGUUUGACUGGCUAAUUUAUUAUUUAGAAGAAGUUAAUAUUGCCAUUAUGAGGGACUUAGGUGGCUCUGAAGAACCAGUUGCAUUUCUAAUGUUUGCAAUGUUAAAUCACAGAUAUUGCCAACAUGAAAUAGUUUCCAUAUGCUGUGUUCUCAAUACACACCAUUUCCAAAGAUAUCCCAAGCUGUAGUCUUAGGAAACUGUGAUUUUUCUUAUUUCAUCUCAUAGGAAUUUGGGGAGCUAUGGGGGAUCUCCAUAAAAUGAGCUCCAGAAAGACACAUGUGUGCACACACACACACUCACACAUGAACCACACCACAAUUGACUCUGUUUAUUUGGGACCCAUGAUUAUCAGAAGUGCUAUUUUCAACAAAUACUUCUGAGAAAUAAUCUGAACACUUAAUUGGAUGCAAAAGAGUGGCUAUUUACUAUUCUACCCUUUAUUUAGCAUAAUCAGUGUUUCCAGCAGCAAAAGCAAUUGGAAAAUCGAUAGUUUUAUUAGGUUCAUUAUUCUCCCUUAGCGUAGUGUGGCAUCAGCAUGGCUAUUAUUCUUAAACUGCCUCUUUAAAACAAGGGCUUGUGCUUCUUCCAGGCAAUUCCUAACUCUUGGGUUUUGUAGAGGGUCCAAAACUCUUUAGAACCUAUAAUUCAAGGAAAGGCUCCACUUUGGUUUUGCAUUUUGUCUGGUCUCUUUCGGUGACAGAAUUUAUAUCACAAGGUGCACAUAUUUUGGGGAGGCUAUGGACAGCCCAUUGCACUUGUGCUUUGGUAGGAAGUACGUGCCGUUAAGGGGAAGGAGUUAGUUACUGAUUCUAGGGAACAAUUGGGUAGAAAGAGAUGGACUCCCUGUAUUUGAAAUUCAGAACUCAAGCUUGGCUCUAAGUGUUUCCUUGCUUUGCUGUGCUCCAAGCGAGUCACUGAGCAGAAGGAAGCGAGUUGCCUGAGAUUCCUCAAAGCCCGCAGCCCUUUUGGAGGUUACAUUGUUAUUCUCAGAGCCUUUAUGAUCUAUAAUAAAGACCUAGCUUGGACCAAUAUUAGGAUGAGUUAUCUUGCUAUGAACAUUUUUUAGGUAGAAGUUGCUGGUCCCAUCUUGCUCACAAUCCUCCAAAGUUUGGAAGUUACUUUCCAGGAGACUUAGCUUGCACUGAGAGCUGCCCUCCCACCCUCUCUCCAAAUUUCCUCUUGGGAGUAGCCUAACAAGGUGCUGUCACAGACCCUUGCCAGCCACGAUGACCCCACCCAGACCAUCCCUCUGCUGUUUCACUCUUUGAUACUCUCUGGAGCUCUCUGGGGAGGGGUGAGACCUGCUGUCUGCUUUGUACUGUUUGCCCAGGUCUUACAGUCAUGGCUGGCUCCUCUCUCUGAGAACUGGGACUCCUGAACUUGGUGAAAUACCUCAGCCAUCGAUCAUGUUAAAUUAUCGGGGACACUCAUUAAAAAUGUGAGUCUGCUCCAGAUGGACUCUCUCUCUUUCUGCCCUGACCGUGAGGGAGACCGUGAGAGAGAGAGACCGUGAGAGAGAGAAACCGUGAGAGAGACCAUCAGAGAGAGAAAGAGAGACCGUGCCCUGACCUGCUGGACAGUGGAGAUGCUUGUGGGCUGUGAGCAACAGAUGCAAGGGCUGCCGGGAAUCCCAUCUUUCCAGCAUCAUCUGCCAAGGCACAUCAGUUCCUGGGUGUCUUGAUGGGUUCUGGCAGCAUUACUGUCAUUGAAGGAAAACAUUUUAGCCAUAUUAAAGGUGAACUCAGCAAUCCCCACACAGCCUGCCUGGAAGGGACGCGGGACAAGGGUAGGUUCUCCCUGUGAUGGACAGGAGGCAGGCGACCCUCCCACAGCCCUACCUGGCAAUGCAGAUGUGUCCCCAAAAGGCACUGGGGGCAGCUGGAGUGCUGUGCCUAGGCGGGCUCACCCGGGCAGCGGUUCGCUCUGAUUGCAGUGGUUUCCCACCAGCUCCUUGGAGAGCUGGCAGAUGACCCAGCCCCACAGCAGGAGCCGGGAAUGGCAGAACGAGAUACAACAAUUUGAUAUCCACUUGCCAGAUGAGCCGGGUGUCCUCAGUCGCCUGGCUCUGUGCCCAACCUCUUUUUACAUAAACACUUAUGAAUUGAGCCAGGAGGAAAAGCACUCUGAUUAUGAAUUGAGCAGAAGGAAACAAAGUUCUGCAGAUAAACACCAAUGAAACAAAAAACCACGAAUAAGAAAAAUGACAGAAAAGGAGAACCUUCCCAGAAGCCUCCUGCCAGUGAACGGUCACCAGAGCAAGAGCAUGGAGGCCCUGGGUUUUGAACUGUGAGAUAAGGAAGAUGAUGAAAACCUCCCUAGCAGCCAGGCAAGCACAAGAUUCCUGUGAAAUCCAGGUCUAAGUGUUUUGACAACAGAAGUAAUAUUAUGUCAUAGGUGAGAGCUGUGAGUUGCUGAACCCAAAGUGAGUUCAAAUCCGAGCUCUGCCUCCUGCUACCUGUGUGACUUUGAGAAGUUCCAGCACUGCUUUGUGCCUCAGUUUUGUCAUCUGUUAAAUGGGCGUAAUCACAGCUCCUGCCUCAGAGUUGUUGUAAAUUAAUACAUGUAAAGCACUGAAAUCAGCCUGGUAUAUAGUAAGUGUUAUGAACGUUAUUUUCUUGGAAGGACAGAACUUAUUUUCAUGGUCUAAUCCUGAAAGUCUAAAAAAUGUGAGAGAAGAGGAAAGAAUCUAGAGUCUCACCAUGAGGGGGAAAAGUCAACUUGAAGCAGGACAGGGUCAUUGACAAUUUCCUGUGAUUCCACAGCUGCCUUGUACACUAUGGUAGCUCCUAGCCACUCGUUGUUUAGAUUUUGUGAUUUAGAAAUGAAUUAAGGCCGGGCAUGGUGGCACACCUGUAAUCCCAGCAUUUUGGGAAGCCAAGUUGGGCAGAUCACCUGAGGUCAGGCGUUCAAGAUCAGCCUGGCCAACAUGGUGAAAUCUCGUCUCUACAAAAAUACAAAAAUUAGCCGGGCAUGAUGGUGGGUUCUUGUAAUCCUGGCUACUCAGGAGGCUGAAGCAGGAGAAUUGCUUGAACCUGGGAGAUGGAGGUUGUAGUGAGACGAGAUUGCACCACUGCAUUCCAGCCUGGAGGAGAGAGUGAGACUCUGUCUCAAAAAAAAAUUUAGUUAAGAGAAAAUUGAAAAUUCAGUUCUUCAUUCUCACCAGCCACAUUUCAAGGGCUCAUCAGCCCAUGUGGAUGUCUAGCAGCUCCCAUGUUGGAUAGUGCAGAGUAGAGCAAGUCCGCCAUUGCAGAAUGUUUGAUUGGACCAUGACUGAAUAGUCUAUUGCAGUGGUCCCCAAUUUUUUUUAGCACCAAGGACCAGUUUCCAUGUAUUUGUGGGGGGAAGUUUCAGGAUGAUUCAAGUGCAUUACAUUUAUUGUGUACUUUGUUUCUAUUGUUAUUAACAUUAUAAUAUAUAAUGAAAUCAUUAUACAACUCACCAUAAUGUAGAAUCAGUGGGAGCCCUGCGCUUGUUUUCCUGCAGCUAGAUAACCCCUUCUCCAGGUGGUGGGAGACAGUGACAGAUCAUCAGGCAUUAGAUUCUCAUAAGGAGCACACAACCUAGAUCCCUUCCACAGGCAGUUCACAAUAGGGUUGGUGCUCCUAUCAGAAUCUAAUGCCGCUGCUGAUCUAACAAGAGGCAGAGCUCAGGCGGUAAUGCUAGCCAUGGGGAGCAGCUGUAAAUACAGAUGAAGCUUCACUCACUAGCCCACUGCUCACCUCCUUCUGUGCAGCCCAGUUCCUAACAGGCCACAGACCACUACUGGUCUGUGGUCUGGGGGAUGGGGACCUCUGGUCUAUUGGAUAACACUGGCUUGGAGGGUACUGAUCAUCCAAAGAAGCGCUGAGAUGAUUUGGCCUCCAUUAAUAAGAAUGAUGGACUUUUUUUUUUUUUUGAGACAGAGUUUUGCUCUUGUUGCCCAUGCUGGAGUGCAGUGGCACAAUUUCGGCUCACUGCAACCUCUGCCUCCCAGGUUCAAGAGAUUCUCAUGCCUCAGCCUCCCAAGUAGCUGGGAUUACAGGUGCCUGCCACCAUGCCUGGCUAAUUUUUGUAUUUUUAGUAGAGUCGGGGUUUUGCCAUGUUGACCAGGCUGGUCUUGAAUUCCUGACCUCAAGUGAUCCACCUGCCUCGGUCUCCCGAAGUGCUGGGAUUACAGGCGUGAGACACCGUGCCUGGCCAGAUGGACUUUUUUUGAACAUUUAGUUCCAAGCACCUUCCCUGCAUUUUCUCAGUUAAUCCUCCCAGUGACUCUGAAGCAGGGACUAUGACAAUCUUCAUUUCACAGAUGGGGCAACUCAGGCACAGAGAGGAAGUCAAUGGCCACGGUCGCCCAGCUGAGGAAGGAUGGAGCCGGCUGAGAUCCUGUUCUGGGGAUCUAACUCUGCAGCCUGCAUUCUGGGCUGCUGUAUUCUCCCAUGUUGCUAUCUGACGAGCACAGCAUGGGCUCAGAGUACAGAGAGGAGACACCAGCUAAUAAGGAUAGGUCUGGGGUGAAGGCUGGUGCCUUGGGGAAGAAGAGAGAUGCCCCAUUCUAAAGGGAUGCCGUUGGAAGCUCAUAGUGAUAAAGCAAAGCCAACAGGUUUUGGGGCUGGGAGUUAAGCACACAGCUCUGGUUUCUGCCUUUUCACAGUGGUGAUGAAUGGGCACUGAGACCCUCUCAAGCUAAAGUUGUCAUCACUGCUCUUCAUAGUCUGAAGGUGCAUGAAAUGGUCAACUUUCUUCCAAAGGGCUUUUAUGCCUAAGUCUGAGGUUAGUGUAUAAACAGAUAUUUACUGAAGUCCUGCUGGGUGCAGACACCGUGGCCAGCCCUGAGGCUACAGUCGAGAUGAAGCCAGUCUCUGUCCUCAUGAAGACCUGUCUAUUGAUAAGAAAAGAGAAAGCUCACUGAGCAUUGACCCUGUGCCCACUGCUUUUGGUGCAUCUCUCAUUUAAUCCUUCUAUCAAAUCUGUGAAAUAAACACAUCACCAUCAUCCCUAUUUCACAUUUAGGGAAACAUAUGCUUAGAGAGGGUAAGUAACUUGGUCAAGGUCACACAGCUUCGAACUCUCCUCCCACAGGCGCAGGAAUGAGAUGCAGCAGCUGGGGAAGCCAGGGUCUCUGGCAGUCCUUGUCUCUGGGCAGUGAUCCAGAGAGAGAACACGAUUGUCUCAGCACUGGAUCUUCUUCUGAGUCGUUUUGAAGGAGCAAUUGCAGAGCGUCUCGGUGUUAAACAUCAUGUUGUGAAUGACUCCGUGAUCUCUGACCCAGUGUCCUUGGGGAUAAAGGAGGGGAG
rnacentral:lncRNA from 1 species